CAGUGCCACGGUAAUACGUAGGUGGCAAGCGUUGUCCGGAAUUAUUGGGCGUAAAGGGCUUGCAGGCGGUUUCAUAAGUCUGAUGUGAAAUCUUCGGGCUCAACUCGAAGUCUGCAUGGGAAACUGUCGGGCUUGAGUAUGGGAGAGGUGAGUGGAAUUUCCGGUGUAGCGGUGAAAUGCGUAGAUAUCGGAAGGAACACCUGUGGCGAAAGCGGCACACUGGACCAUAACUGACGCUGAGGCACGAAAGCUAGGGGAGCAAACAGGAUUAGAUACCCCUGUAGUCCCUGUCUCUUAUACC
rnacentral:rRNA from 1 species